CCAGAAAGUACCGUGGCCAUGCUUUUACACCCCAUGACUUUAUCUUUGAUUUGGUAACAGGGACAUGUGGAAUGGCUGUGUCCCAAUGGUGAUAUAGAUGUUCAAGUCCAAGUGGUAGUUGAACCAAAAUCACACUGUUGCUUUCAGUAUCGCAGUAAAAAUCUUGUAGAAUGAGUUUUACCUCAACUAAUUGAUAAAGUUCAUCUUCAUAAUGAGGGUCAGGGUUGAUGGUUGGCUUGUACCACAUGGUGCAGAAGGCAUAUU